rnacentral:rRNA from 1 species
AUUGAACGCUGGCGGCAUGCUUUACACAUGCAAGUCGAACGGUAACAGGCCUUCGGGUGCUGACGAGUGGCGAACGGGUGAGUAAUGCAUCGGAACGUACCCAGAGGUGGGGGAUAACGCAGCGAAAGCUGUGCUAAUACCGCAUGUGAUCUGAGGAUGAAAGCGGGGGACCGAGCAGCAAUGUUUGGCCUCGCGCCUUUGGAGCGGCCGAUGUCGGAUUAGCUAGUUGGUGGGGUAAAGGCCUACCAAGGCGACGAGCCGUAGCUGGUCUGAGAGGACGACCAGCCACACUGGGACUGAGACACGGCCCAGACUCCUGCGGGAGGCAGCAGUGGGGAAUUUUGGACAAUGGGCGCAAGCCUGAUCCAGCAAUGCCGCGUGCGGGAAGAAGGCCUUCGGGUUGUAAACCGCUUUUGGCAGGAACGAAACGGUGUCCGCUAAUACCGGGCGCUAAUGACGGUACCUGCAGAAUAAGCACCGGCUAACUACGUG